GGACUGUGACUCAGUGGUAGAGCGCUUGCGUAGCAUGUGUGAGGCACUGGGUUCGAACCUCAGCACCA
rnacentral:tRNA from 1 species